CUCUAUUCUAAAAAUGGUAGGGAAAAAAUGAAAAAAAGAAAAAAAAACAACAUAGAACAAGAGGAGGAGAUGAACGAAAUUUGAUUUUUCUUUUGGGGUUCAUAGCCUUUUCUUCGACAAAUCGAUUCGGUAAUCGUUCUUUCUUCGUAGGAUCGAGAGUAUUUCGAGCGACAGACUCAUCAGCAGUGAUCACCAUUCAUUCUAUCAGUUAUCUAGUUCAGUUGAUUUAGGUAAUUAUUUGGAUUAGGCUUUUCUUUAGCCACAUGUGACUCUCCAGACUAUGGUGUAUUUUUCCUUUCUCUUUAGAUAAAUCGUGGACUUGUCAUAGAACUAUGAAAAUUUUUGAUAUUUCUUUAUCUAUACAUUCCUUUUAUUAUCUUGGUUA